rnacentral:misc_RNA from 1 species
GAUGAAGAACGUAGCGAAAUGCGAUAAGUAAUGUGAAUUGCAGAAUUCAGUGAAUCAUCGAAUCUUUGAACGCACAUUGCGCCCGCCAGUAUUCUGGCGAGCAUGCCUGUUCGAGCGUCAUUUCAACCAUCAAGCCCCAGGCUUGUGUUGGAGCCCUGCGGCUGCCGCAGCCUCCCAAAACCAGUGGCGGGCUCGCUAUCACACCGAGUGCAGUAGUUUACUCUUCGCUCAGGGCGUGUGGCGGGUGCUAGCCGUGAAACCCCCAACUUCUCAAGGUUGACCUCGGAUCAGGUAGGAAUACCCGCUGAACUUAAGCAUAUCAAUAAGCGGAGAA